AUUUAUAUAGUUUAAUUAAAAACAUUAUAUUUUCACUAUAAAAAUAAUUUUAUAUUUAUAAAUU
rnacentral:tRNA from 1 species